rnacentral:rRNA from 1 species
UACGUAGGUGGCAAGCGUUGUCCGGAUUUAUUGGGUUUAAAGGGUGCGUAGGCGGCUUUGUAAGUCAGUGGUGAAAUAUGGCAGCUCAACUGUCAAGGUGCCAUUGAUACUGCGGAGCUUGAGUACAGAUGAGGUAGGCGAAUGACGGUGUAGCGGUGAAAUGCUUAGAUAUCGUCAAGAACACCUAUAGCGAAGGCAGCUUACUAGGCUGUAACUGACGCUGAGGCACGAAAGUGUGGGGAUCAAACAGG